rnacentral:rRNA from 1 species
UACAGAGGGGGCAAGCGUUGUUCGGAAUUACUGGGCGUAAAGCGCGCGUAGGCGGCUAGAUCAGUCUGCUGUAAAAGUCAAAGGCUCAACCUUUGAAAGCCGGUGGAUACUGUCUAGCUAGAGUCCGGAAGAGGCGAGUGGAAUUCCUGGUGUAGCGGUGGAAUGCGCAGAUAUCAGGAGGAACACCAACGGCGAAGGCAGCUCGCUGGGACGGUACUGACGCUAAGGCGCGAAAGCGUGGGGAGCGAACAGG